rnacentral:tRNA from 1 species
GCCGAAGUGGCGAAACAGGCAGACGCGCUACGUUCAGGGCGUAGUGGGAGUUACUCCCGUGUGGGUUCAAAUCCCACCUUCGGCACCA